UACGAAGGGGGCUAGCGUUGCUCGGAAUCACUGGGCGUAAAGCGCACGUAGGCGGGCGAUUAAGUCAGAGGUGAAAGCCUGGAGCUCAACUCCAGAACUGCCUUUGAUACUGAUCGUCUCGAGUCCGAGAGAGGUGAGUGGAACUCCGAGUGUAGAGGUGAAAUUCGUAGAUAUUCGGAAGAACACCAGUGGCGAAGGCGGCUCACUGGCUCGGUACUGACGCUGAGGUGCGAAAGCGUGGGGAGCAAACAGG
rnacentral:rRNA from 1 species